rnacentral:rRNA from 1 species
UCUAGCGACUGUGAAUCAUCGAAUCUUUGAAUGCACAUUGCACCCGUUGGCCCAUCCUACGGGUCUGGCUGGCUGAGUGGAGCUAAAGUAGUAUAGUAGAAAAAAGGAAGAUCCUUUCCUUCUAUUAUAUUCUCGGGCCUUGCUCUUUUCUUUGAAAAGUGUAUUGGACCGGAUAUUGAGCCGUCCAAAAGGUGUAUACUUUGUUCCUAGAACAAUUAUUAGCAUCUAUGGUCGCUUAAAAUUCAGACAAGUAGCUGGCGGCGAAGACGUUAUUAGUGUAGCGAUGGUGGUAAUGGUUUAUAAUCGUUCCCUAUCUAUCUCAAUACGUUUCAUUGUUAUCUCCUUUAGAUGGGUGAUAUACAAUAGUCAGACCUAUUUGUUUAUUGCGCAAUUUGAAGAUAAAUAAAGCAUUUUUGUUUUACUACUCUUCUUAUCUCAUCUCCCUCAGAUUAGGCAGGAUGACCCGCUGAACUUAAGCAUAUCAAUAAGCGGAGG